GUUCUACAAUCCUGAAGAAGAGGGGUCGAUUCUUGUUUACUUCUUCAUCUUUUCUGUUUGGGUCCUUCUUCUUUACGACUUUGACGGAUAACGAAGGAAUUUGAAAUUCUUGAAGAUAUUCAUGCUUCGCUGUUCGCACUAUGAAUCAGUAGACUUAACUCGUCUCCGGAAUUGCUGGAACCUAUCGCUGCCAUCAAUUCUAGAACUGACCGACGCCUCACCUGCAAAGGUACCUACGUAGUGUAGGUUCAACCGCACACUGAAGACAACAUUCACUUAUGUGCCUUUCCUGAACCAGAAGUCUUCAAAAUUGAAACCGGCUCCGAAAGCUUACUAGAUGGCCCUGAUGCUCUAUGCACAUUCAUCUUGUGACUCUGCUGUAAGUGUUGCCAUCUGUUGGAACCAGUAGUCCAACUGCGGGACAAGUUGAUCAGAAUUGAUUUUUGAGGUCUUUGAUGCUCAAUCCAGAAAGUUCUUCUCCCAAAAGCUGCCUGCAAUUAUCACAGAAGAGGAUUGUGGUUUAUUCUGUACGUAUCCUUUUACUGGUUUGAUUUAUGAAUGUAGGAUGAGCUAUAUUUCUGAUUGAACGCAUCUUUCGUUGUUUGGAUACUAGGCCAAUCGUAUAAUAUCCAAUGUUGUGAAAUUUCUCAUAUGACAUAAAAUAUGAGGAAGUUCUUGUGAUGUUUAUGCAUAUGAGGGUAAUCAUAAGAUAGCGUCUAUGAUUCUGACCUUAGGUCCAAAGUCAAGGAUAAUCAUAAGAUACUAUUUUGUAUGUC